CACGCACACUGUUAAAGCUCGGAGUAGAAGCCAUUUUGUGGUUUGUGAACUCUCGAGUGUCGGAAGUGUGCAACAUUAAUUCCAAGGCGGGAUUUUCGCUAACACCGUCAGAGCAUCAUGCUCAAUGAUCGGGGUUUGAUAGUGAUCUCUGCCACAAUG